ensembl:lncRNA
CCUGAAUUGUAAGAGUGUUUUAUUGGUCUUGAAAAAUAUAAGAUCUGGAAACAGAUUAAGUUCUUCAUCGUGUAAAAUUUGUCAUUAAUUGUUUCUUUUCAUUAAGCUCGGCUUUGAAAAACAUUUAUCUGCUGGAGUUCCACCCUUCCCUGGGCCUGGCUUCCUGUAUCCCCAGCGCCCUCGAGCACCUCCUCAGGGAGGCCCGCCACACUUGCAGGCCCACAUCAGCCAGUGCCCUCACCCUGCUGGAGAGACGUGUGCUACAGCUGGCCCUGGAUGUGUGGCUCACCCCAGCCAAGCCCGAGUCCUGGUACAGUGCACAGCUCCAGAAAGAUCUAUUUUCAGCUAAAGUGAUGGGUGAUCCCUUUCUUGUGGGGGAGACAGGCCUGCUUGCGCUCAAAUCUGCAGCAGACCAAGGACAGAACCAAGGCCAAGAUUCCCAAAUGCUGCUCCUGGAAAUGUUUUCCAAACUUUUGGAACUCUUGACCCUCCGGCAUAGGCUGAUAGAGAUGAGUCUGGAGACUGUACACUUGGCACGUCUCUAUAAGGAUUUGGCGUGUGAGAUGGGUUUUGAAGAGUUCCAUUUGUAUCUGAGGCCUGUUCACUUUGAAUCUGCAUCACACAAGGACAAGGUGGUCCAUCCACCUCCUGUCUUUAUAACCUCUCUGCUGGAGGACAGUGACUGCGUAGACAGAUAUUCUCCUGCUACUCUUGUCUUAGCUAUCUCCGAAGUGGAUGAUAACCAAAUUGGCAAAUUUAGUUUUUAUACAAAGGAAGCCAUUCUUAAGCUCUUGUGCCAUUCAGGAGUGGAAAAUAUGCAAGUGACCCUAGCAUGCCAGGCUACUCAGAAGAAUGCUUUAAUGGUGGCUGUCCAGCAGGCAUCCUUCUAUCACACACCCCGUGGGAGCUGUCCCCCUAUCAAGGAAAUAAGUUCUGGUCUGAGAAAUCAUAGUGGAGUGGGUCCAACCAGAAGAAGAAAUUCCAGAAUUGUGAAUGGCAUAGAAGGCAUGCUGUUAGCCCCAAUUCCAAAAGUCUCAGAUGCCCUAACUCAUCCUUCAAAAAGAUUCCAGGCUACCAAAAGGUACUGCACGGGGGUAGCAGUGGGCAGUUGUUUAUAAUAACAAAAGUAUCCUCUUUUA